rnacentral:rRNA from 1 species
GCUUGUCUCAAAGAUUAAGCCAUGCAUGUCUAAGUAUAAACUAUUUUAUACUGUGAAACUGCGAAUGGCUCAUUAAAUCAGUUAUAGUUUAUUUGAUGGUACCUUACUACUCGGAUAACCGUAGUAAUUCUAGAGCUAAUACUUGCGUUUUCCCGACUUCUCGGAAGGGAUUGCAUUUAUUAGAUACAAACCAAUCGGUGGUUUACCACUGCUAUAUGGUGAUUCAUAAUAACUAAGCGAAUCGCAUGGGCUCGCCCGGCGAUAGACCUUUCAAGUUUCUGAUCUAUCAGCUAUUGACGGUAGGGUAUUGGCCUACCGUGGCGAUGACGGAUAAAGGGGGAUUAGGGUUCGACUCCUGAGAGGGAGCCUGAGAAACGGCUACCACAUCUAAGGAAGGCAGCAGG